rnacentral:rRNA from 1 species
GGGGGGGGCAAGCGUUGUUCGGAAUUACUGGGCGUAAAGGGCUCGUAGGCGGCCAACUAAGUCGGAUGUGAAAUCCCCAAGCUUAACUUGGGAACUGCAUCCGAUACUGGAUGGCUUGAAUCCGGGAGAGGGAUGCAGAAUUCCAGGUGUAGCGGUGAAAUGCGUAGAUAUCUGGAGGAAUACCGGUGGCGAAGGCGGCAUCCUGGACCGGCAUUGACGCUGAUGAGCGAAAGCUAGGGGAGCAAACGGGAUUAGAUACCCCGGUAGUCCUAGCCCUAAACGAUGAAUGCUUGGUGUGGCGGGUAUCGAUCCCUGCCGUGCCGAAGCUAACGCAUUAAGCAUUCCGCCUGGGGAGUACGGUCGCAAGGCUGAA